UGACGGUCAGCGUAAAAUCUAACUUGUUCAUUUUUAUAAAACUGACUUGAAACACCAAAAUAUAUAUGUGGGACUGAUUUUUCGAUCUUUUCAUAUAUUUUUGUCUAUUUCACUUGUUAAAUUGCUGAGUUAUACUGUCAGGCUGACUUACCAUUAUUCUAAAUGUCUGUACUCUCGGAAUAAGGCUCUUACUUUAUUUUGAUCAAUAUAUUUCUCUUUGUAUAAAGGUUACAAAUUAUUUGAUGUAAUCGCACUUACUUUGAAAUAGUUAUUGCGAAGAUUUAUGAAUAUUCAUGUGCGUACAUAUUCGCGUGGUUUAAGCAUACGCGCAUAGCGCAUGGUAGUGCGCUGAUAUGUGAUAGCCGAGUUUGAUCGAUGUGGCUAGGCUGUACACUUUGGCAUUAGAUGCGCUGUGAAACUGACCUGUCUGUGAACCUUGUUGAACCGAGAUUUACGACUAUAGACCAUAUCUGCUGUGUGACCUAAUACAUUACUAGUAAUAUGAAUUUCUGGAGGACGAGGCUGAGGGCCUCAGUAUUAGUCUGUCACCUGUACCUAGUAGUUUAAGAAUAUAUCUAUCUACAUGUAAAGCAGUUGUAACUUAUAUAUAUUGAACAUUUGUAUAUUUAAUAAUUGUAUUCUAUAUAGUUGUACUUUAAAUAUAUUCGUCAUAUUUAUGAACAAAGUAAAUACGAUCUGAUGCUAUUACUUGCAUAAGAUUUAGUCACUUGUAAAUAGAUUCACAAUUCAACAAUUAAUGAUGUACAAAUUAAUAUAAGUAGCUUAUGUAUUUAUGGAGCUGUAACUUACAUGUAUAUUUUAUCUUAGUAACACUUAUUGAUAAU